rnacentral:rRNA from 1 species
GAUGAACGCUGGCGGCGUGCUUAACACAUGCAAGUCGAACGGAAAGGCUCCUGCUUGCAGGGGUACUCGAGUGGCGAACGGGUGAGUAACACGUGGGUGAUCUGCCCUGCACUUCGGGAUAAGCCUGGGAAACUGGGUCUAAUACCGGAUAGGACGAUGGUUUGGAUGCCAUUGUGGAAAGUUUUUUCGGUGUGGGAUGAGCUCGCGGCCUAUCAGCUUGUUGGUGGGGUAAUGGCCUACGAAGGCGUCGACGGGUAGCCGGCCUGAGAGGGUGUACGGCCACAUUGGGACUGGGAUACGGCCCAGACUCCUACGUGAGGCAGCAGUGGGGAAUAGUGCACAAUGGGCGCAAGCCUGAUGCAGGGACGCCGCGUGGGGGAUGACGGCCUUCGGGUUGUAAACCCCUUUCGCUAGGGACGAAGCGCAAGUGACGGUACCUGGAGAAGAAGCACCGGCUAACUACGG